rnacentral:rRNA from 1 species
UACGUAGGGUCCAAGCGUUAUCCGGAAUCACUGGGCGUAAAGGGCGCGUAGGCGGCGUGUCAAGUCAGGCGUGAAAGCCCCGGGCUCAACCUGGGAACCGCGCUUGAGACUGGCAUGCUCGAGUUCGGGAGAGGAUGGUGGAAUUCCCAGUGUAGAGGUGAAAUUCGUAGAUAUUGGGAAGAACACCGAUGGCGAAGGCAGCCAUCUGGACCGACACUGACGCUGAGGCGCGAAAGCGUGGGGAGCAAACAGG